rnacentral:rRNA from 1 species
AAUGGGUCAGCGACUUAUAUUCUGUAGCAAGGUUAACCGAAUAGGGGAGCCGAAGGGAAACCGAGUCUUAACUGGGCGUUAAGUUGCAGGGUAUAGACCCGAAACCCGGUGAUCUAGCCAUGGGCAGGUUGAAGGUUGGGUAACACUAACUGGAGGACCGAACCGACUAAUGUUGAAAAAUUAGCGGAUGACUUGUGGCUGGGGGUGAAAGGCCAAUCAAACCGGGAGAUAGCUGGUUCUCCCCGAAAGCUAUUUAGGUAGCGCCUCGUGAAUUCAUCUCCGGGGGUAGAGCACUGUUUCGGCAAGGGGGUCAUCCCGACUUACCAACCCGAUGCAAACUGCGAAUACCGGAGAAUGUUAUCACGGGAGACACACGGCGGGUGCUAACGUCCGUCGUGAAGAGGGAAACAACCCAGACCGCCAGCUAAGGUCCCAAAGUCAUGGUUAAGUGGGAAACGAUGUGGGAAGGCCCAGACAGCCAGGAUGUUGGCUUAGAAGCAGCCAUCAUUUAAAGAAAGCGUAAUAGCUCACUGGUCGAGUCGGCCUGCGCGGAAGAUGUAACGGGGCUAAACCAUGCACCGAAGCUGCGGCAGCGACACUAUGUGUUGUUGGGUAGGG